UACGUAGGGGGCAAGCGUUGUCCGGAAUCAUUGGGCGUAAAGAGCGCGUAGGCGGCCCAGUAAGUCCGCUCUGAAAGUCAGGGGCUCAACCCCUGGAUGCGGGUGGAUACUGCUGGGCUAGAGUCCGGAAGAGGCGAGUGGAAUUCCUGGUGUAGCGGUGAAAUGCGCAGAUAUCAGGAAGAACACCCGUGGCGAAGGCGGUUCUCUGGGACGGUACUGACGCUGAGACGCGAAAGCGUGGGGAGCGAACAGG
rnacentral:rRNA from 1 species